GCAGGUGUAGAAGCACGGUGGCUAGGAAAAACUCCCAAGAAAGGCCAAAACCUAGGAUGAAACCUAGAGAGGAACCAGGCUAUGAGGGGUGGCCAGUCCUAUCUAGUACAGAAAUCUACAGCUAGUUAGCACUGCAGAGCAUACAAUGUGGCUUCCAUGUUUUCUCCCUGGACCUCCUCAAUGUCCACCUCUUAAACAUCAGACUCUGAGGCCUCAUCUUCACUGUCACUUUCCAACCUUGUUGAGGAAGGCUCGUUGUCAGGCUCAAAAAGCCUUGUAUUGGUCAGCCUGUUGCGUGCAUUGGUGUGUGUGUUCCCAAACAAGGACCAGUUGCGCUCUGAGUUGAUGGAGGCAACAGGAGAAAGAGCCUCAGAUCCACAAAUUCCCUUCCACCAGGUGGCUGAUGAGAUAUGUUGGCGCUACUGCCAUAUUGCAUCUCCCACCCAAAGCCCUUGCUUGGAAGUGUACUUCACCAGACUGCCAAAAACCUUGCCCUCAUCCAGGUCAAGGUGACGAGACACGGUAGUGAUGACACCAUAGGCCUUGUUGAUAUCUGCACCAGACAGGAUGCUCUCGCCAGCAUGCUUGAGGUCCAACAUGUACACUGCGGCGUGUAUGGGCUUCAGCGAGAAGUCUUCAUGCAUUUUGAUGUAUUUCAGAACUACAGUUUCCUCUGCUUGGCGCAACAGGGAAGUGGGCAUUGCAGCACGGAUUUCUUCUCUUACAUCUGCAAGCAGAGUCUGAACAUCAGACAGGAUGGCAUUGUCUCCCUCAAUCUGUGCAAUGGCUACUGCUAUAUGUUUCAGAAGUUUUAGGCUGUACUACUCUCUCACAAAAUACAUCAUCCAGGAGGAUCCUCUUGAUUGGGCUGUCUAUAUCGGCAGACUGUGAUAUGGCCAUUUCUUGGAAAGACUCCUUCCCCUCCAGGAGACUGUCAAACAUGAUGACAACACCACUGCAACGUGCACUUAUUCUUCUCACUUUGCUUGGUGAGGUAGAUUGCUGCUAUAACUUGAUGACCCUUCACAUACCUAACCAUUUCCUUGGUUCUCUUGUGGAGUGUGUCCAUUGUUUUCAGUGCCAUGAUGUCAUUGAGGAGCAGAUUCAAUGCAUGAGCAGCACAGCCAAUGGGUGUGACGUGAGGGUAGGACUCCUCCACUUUAGACCAAGCAGCCUUCAUGUUCACAGAAUUGUCUGUCACCAGUGAAACUACCUUCUGUGGUCCAAGGUCAUUGAUGACUGCCUUCAGCUCAUAUGCAAUGUAGAGACCGGUGUGUCUGUUGUCCCUGGUGUCUGUACUCUUGUAGAAUGCUGGUUGAGGGGUGGAGAUGAUGUAGUUAAUUAUUCCUUGCCCAGGAACAUUCGACCACCCAUCAGAGAUGAUUGCAAUACAGUCUGCUUUCUCUAUGAUUUGCUUGACCUUCACUUGAACUCUUGAACUCUGCAUCCAGCAAAUUAGUAGAUGAAGCAUGUCUGGUUGGAGGGGUGUAUGCUGGGCGAGGAACAUUCAGAAAUCUCUUCCAAUACACAUUGCCUGUGAGCAUCAGAGGUGAACCAUUUCAUACACAGCUUGAGCAAGACACUCAUCAGCAUUUCUCUGACUACGUUCCUCCAUUGAGUCAAAAAAACUUCUGAUUCCAGGAGGACCAUGAGCUGUUGCUAUCGAUAAGGUGUCUGAUUCAUAAUUUCACCUCGAAUUGAAGUAGAGGGACUUUUGUCAGAGGUUGAUUGUUGUGAGCGCUGAGGGAACUGUAUGCACUUGGCCAGAUGAUUCUGCAUCUUUGUUGCAUUCUUCACAUAUGACUUGGAACAGUAUUUGUAAAUGUACACAGCUUUUCCUUCCACAUUAGCUGCAGUGAAAUGUCUCCACAUGUCACGUCCUGACCAGUAAAGGGGUCAUUUUGUUAUUGUAGUUGGUCAGAACGUGGCAGGGGUGUGUUUGUUUUGUGUGUUUGGGGGUUUUUGAUUUAUGUUCUAUGUUUUCUAUUUCUAUGUGGGUUUUCUAGUUUGUCUAUUUCUAUGUGAGUUUUGGGAACGACCUCCAAUUAGAAGCAGCUGGUUGUUGUUGCUUCUAAUUGGAGGCCAUAUUUAAGUGGGUUUAUUUUCUCUUGUGUUUGUGGGUGGUUGUUCCGUGUAUAGCUGUGUAGCAUUACAGGACUGUUUUCGGCAUUGUUUGUUAUUUUUGUUAAGUGUUCACGUUUAUUAAAAUAAAAGAAGAUGAGCACGAUA
rnacentral:lncRNA from 1 species